rnacentral:rRNA from 1 species
AGAACUUAGCAGAGAUGCUUUGGUGCCUUCGGGAACUCUGAGACAGGUGCUGCAUGGCUGUCGUCAGCUCGUGUUGUGAAAUGUUGGAUUAAGUCCCGCAACGAGCGCAACCCUUAUCCUUUGUUGCCAGCGGUCCGGCCGGGAACUCAAAGGAGACUGCCAGUGAUAAACUGGAGGAAGGUGGGGAUGACGUCAAGUCAUCAUGGCCCUUACGAGUAGGGCUACACACGUGCUACAAUGGCGCAUACAAAGAGAAGCGACCUCGCGAGAGCAAGCGGACCUCAUAAAGUGCGUCGUAGUCCGGAUUGGAGUCUGCAACUCGACUCCAUGAAGUCGGAAUCGCUAGUAAUCGUGGAUCAGAAUGCCACGGUGAAUACGUUCCCGGGCCUUGUACACACCGCCCGUCACACCAUGGGAGUGGGUUGCAAAAGAAGUAGGUAGCUUAACCUUCGGGAGGGCGCUUACCACUUUGUGAUUCAUGACUGGGGUGAAGUCGUAACAAGGUAAGCGUAGUGCU